GAAACAGAAGCACACAUUAGUACGGAUGGUGUAAGAAGCAUUGAGGUCAUUAUCAUUGGAAGCACUCUUGUGUGCUUUUGCAUAAUUUCCGUGAUCGUUUAUUUUUGCUAUUCUAAAAGGGCUGCAAAAAGAAAACAAAGAAAAAGGGACAGACCUAUGCCAGCUCCUGAUGUCAGAAACAACGCAGACUACUUCAAGGAAGACGACUGUGUAUAUAAUAAAAUAGAAUCUAUAUAUGUCGAGGAAUCUCCCCUCCCUCUAACAAUCUCUGACCCACUCUAUGGCCACAAAGAUGAUACUGUUUAUCAUACUCUUUCUCUCAGGCUAGACCUAAGGAGUGACAAGUUUCUAGAUCCGCCCUGUAUCUGUAUUGGACCAAGGAAGCCCCACUCAGUAUCCAAUAUCAAUGUUCAUAGCGCGUACGAGGAACCCUCUAU